rnacentral:lncRNA from 1 species
UGGAGUCUUGCUACUGUAUGUGUUCAUUGUGCAGAACUUGUAAAGUUAUUUCAUUUAGUAUCCUGCUAGUGACUUUGUAGCUGCAGUCUGGGCAUUUCAGUCACAUCCCUGCUGACAGAUGUGGCUGUUUCUUCUGGUUAUAUUAUGCACUUGCUUACAGGUUGUAAAAGUUGUUUCCACACCAAUAGGACAAUUGCUGCUACACGAUUCUCAGUGUAGCUGCAGCUUUUCCCUUUUGAAGGCAGAUAUUUAUCCCACUCUAGCAGAGACGUAGGUAAAUCCUGGCUCCCACUGGGACAUGGCUAUUCAUUUUGAUCACCUCUUUUUCUCUUCUUCAUUUCUGAGCAGUAUCUUUCUCGUUUGACAUAGAAACCUGGAGAUGUCUAAUCCCAAUGGCAGUGUUACCCAAGGGAUGGGGGCUAGCUGUUAGCAGCAAGGUGAGAGGGUGUUUUGAGAACAGUUCAUAAAUGGUACCAUGAAUGAAUCUUUAUACCUGACACAGAGUGAGCCCCAUGCUAAAGCUCCUGCUGGGGAGCUUUGGCUUAAGCAGCUGCUGCUGUGUAUCCCCAUUACUUUAUUUUUCACUCUAUGGCUAUGGACGCUUGAUAAAGGAUGUUGAGGAACCUUCACUGGUGCUUAAGAAGCCUUUUUAAAGUAUCUGGAUGAGGGCAUGGUGAGAGCACACCCACACUCUGUUCAGUGGCUCAUCUAAUGGGAAAUAUGUGUUAAGCUGCAGUCACUAAGUGGCAUUUGACCAUGGGGCCAUGCCUCAGUUAAAUCCUCUUUUGUGAGAUACCUGCUUCUGGCAGGUUUUAGGACAGGUGCUUUUAAAUCAGUCUUUACUGUAUAUAAGCCUUUUCUUCACUGGUAAGAAGCUUCUUUUUGUUCUAUUCCAUGCUUUAUGGGUAGUGUGAGUAUCCGAGAUGAAUGUCAAAAGAGAACAUGUCUCUCUCGCUAUAUACAUGGAGUUUCAUGUUCCUUUUUCACCCUGAAAAAUUACUCUUCCAACUGUCCAUGUUGUAUGUUGUCAGAUUUUUCACUCCUCCUUUUCUUCUUACAGGUCUGUGUGUAAACACAUCCCUUUUACAGAAGUCAGAGUAACAGUUUCAGGUGUCUGUGUUAACUGGAGGCUGAUGUCUGACUUCCAAAGGGAUCCAGGCAUUUAGGAAGCUGUGUCACUCAGGCUGGGUGCUUCAGUUACUUCUAAACUAGCUGAGUGCUUUUGGGGCAGUUUGCUUUACAAAAGCUACAUCGUGUUUCUGAAAAUGGUGCUAACACAGAUUGCAGAGGUGGUGAUGGCUUAUUCAAAAGAGUGACACUACCCAAAACUUGACUGGGCAACAGGAUCCUUCUUUUCCUUUCCUCCUCCCAGUAACACAGCGAAGACGCUGACUAAACUCAGUAAGUUAUUUUGACAGAUUGACACUUAAAGCAAUGAAAUAAAUCAGGGUAAAAGAGUUCUGUAAUUUGCUGUGUCUCCAGGAGACACUGUUAAGGAGUCUGUGACUUUACUGACAAUCACUUGUGGUUCUACUCUUAAAUGAAUUUAAACUUCUCUCAUCUCUUCUAUAUUAAGAUGUUUCUGGCCCACUUUGUCUUCAGGCAGAACUUCCAGGGCUGGAGGAAAAGUGUCAUUUUAAUAAGAUAUUUCCAGCAGGGAUUAAAGCUGGGGGCUGAGCUUUCACCCAUGAAGAAACAUUUAAUUUCCUUAUGUCCUUGCAAGAGUUUACACACCUCCUGGGGUUUUAUUUGUCUUCUUGUUGUUAUGCUGUUGGCAGAAACUGUUCUGUGUCUUGCUGGUCUUUGCUGCUACGUUGAAACGACUGUGUUAUAUACUUGUGUGUUUGUGGGUAACUCUGGGAUGAGGCUGGCAGUCCCUAACAUAGGGGUGGGAAAGCUGAGGACAUCAGGCUGCUAUAUCCAGCCUGAAAUAGCUUCACCCACAAACAGGAAUCCAUUUCAGGCAAAUACUGAGUGCUCUGAAUGUACUGACAGAUGUGCUGGUUGGGUAAUACUGUGUAGUGUGUAGAACCUGCCAUUUACAGAGAGCAGUAGGAGAAUGUAAAUGACCCUCCUGUGAACAGUGCAAUACAUAAUGGCCACUGUGUGUUAAAACAAAAGCUUGAUUCCCCUGCCCUGUAGUGUACAGUGGAGAGGCUGGUUUGAGUGAAUGGAAGGUGAGGCCUGAACCAUUGCUAGCUCUUAAUGUUCAGAAGUGAACGGAGACAGGAGAUAUCCCAAAUCCCACCCUUGGCUUUCAAUGCAUGUGCAUGUGUCUUUGCAACAAGGGGGCUUAACUGUGCGAGUUUCUCCUAUUGGGUACAGUACUACCUGUAGAAAAAAGUGCCACUGAUGCCCACGAACUACUCACAAUAGGAAGUACUGAGCCAGGUGGAAGGAAGUUUGAGGGCUGGACUCCUGCAGAACCGUCUGUUUCUCUCACCAGGACCUAAAACUUUGCUCUGCUUUUGGUGUCAAGUAACUGGCACUGGCUGGGCUCUAGAGUUUAUGACCUGUGCCUCUAACUACAGUGAGGAGUUGUGGGUCUGCUGUACAGGGCACUGAAACAGCCUCAAAACAGGAGCCUUAAAUAGUUGCCAUUCUUAUUCUGGAAGUGAGACCCUCAACAUCUGCCUGUGCUCUGCAUGUGUUGAUGCCAAUAACUUUUCACAAGGACUAACAGGUAUGUUUGGAAGAUUAUAGAAGAUGAUGAGAAAACAGUUUGGGAUGAUGUCUCCUGUCCAAAGGAGGUAGUACUAUAAGGGUAGUUGUACCCACCCAGUAUAUUAACUCUGAGGAGUAAGUUGUUUUGGCAAAUAGUCUUAAAAGCACUGCUAUUGUCUUUUACCUCCUGUUAAUAAACCUACUUCUCCAAGGUAAGAAUCCCCUGGACACUUUAUCCAAAGGUCUAUCGGAUGGCAAGCAAUGAUGCACAGACAUUGACUUUUGCUGUUCUUUUUGUUCUAUUGAAAUGAGCAGUCCCACCUGGAGACUUGACAGCUCAUGAGUUGAUGUAAUUGUUUUUGGUUUGCAUUUAACUGGAUUGUAAUAAGAUUGACUUAAAAUUAUUAAUUCUAAUCAGUGAUUAGAAAUACAUGUAAAGAAUUUUCUGUACAGUAGAGGAACAAAGUUACCUGAUUUUAAAUAAUGAAAACCCAGACUAUCACCUAUUCUAGAAUUGGUUCUACUCAAAGAGUGACCUCUUAUUAGCAUGGACUGCACUGUUCCUGUUAAAUGUCUAUUGCAUAAUUGAAUUCUUUUUUGUAGAUAUUGUAUUAAAACCCAAGUGUCUGUAUAGUUAAUAUAUAGCUGCUUAUGUGUAAAUGCUAUUUUAAACACUAAAAAGCUUUUAAUUUUAUGUGAUAA